rnacentral:rRNA from 1 species
UACGUAGGGUCCAAGCGUUAUCCGGAAUCACUGGGCGUAAAGCGUGCGUAGGCGGAUGUUUAAGUGAGAUGCGAAAUCUUGUGGCUCAACCAUAUAGACUGUAUCUCAUACUGGACGUCUUGAGGACAUGAGAGGCUAGUGGAAUUACUGGUGUAGCAGUGAAAUGCGUAGAUAUCAGUAGGAACACCAAUGGCGAAGGCAGCUAGCUGGCAUGUAUCUGACGCUAAGGCACGAAAGCGUGGGGAUCAAACAGG